rnacentral:rRNA from 1 species
UACGUAGGGGGCAAGCGUUGUCCGGAAUCAUUGGGCGUAAAGAGCGUGUAGGCGGCCCGGUAAGUCCGCUGUGAAAGUCGGGGGCUCAACCCUCGAAUGCCGGUGGAUACUGUCGGGCUAGAGUGCGGAAGAGGCGAGUGGAAUUCCUGGUGUAGCGGUGGAAUGCGCAGAUAUCAGGAGGAACACCGGUGGCGAAGGCGGCCUGCUGGGCAGAUACUGACACUGGAGGCGCGGCAGCGUGGGGGAGCAAACAGG